UUCGCAAUGCCCGAAAGGGUGACGAAGCGACGCCGCGUGGGUGAAGAAGGCCUUCGGGUUGUAAAGCCCUGUCAGGAGUUAUGAAAUGUAAGUGCGCUAAUAUCGUGCUUAUUUGACAAAGGCUCCAAAGGAAGCCACGGCUAACUCUGUGCCAGCAGCCGCGGUAAUACAGAGGUGGCGAGCGUUGUUCGGAAUUAUUGGGCGUAAAGAGCACGUAGGUGGGUUUGCAAGUCAGAUGUGAAAGCCUUCUGUUCAACGGAAGAAUUGCAUCUGAAACUGCUAAUCUUGAGUAUAGGAGGGGAGAAUGGAACUUCUGGUGGAGCGGUGAAAUGCGUAGAUAUCAGAAGGAACGCCGGCGGCGAAAGCGAUUCUCUGGCCUAUUACUGACACUCAGUGUGCGAAAGCUAGGGGAGCAAACGGGAUUAGAUACCCCGGUAGUCCUAGCCGUAAACGAUGGGCACUAAGUAGA
rnacentral:rRNA from 1 species